UGGGGAAUAUUGCGCAAUGGGCGAAAGCCUGACGCAGCGACGCCGCGGGAGGGAUGAAGGUUUUCGGAUCGUAAACCUCUGUCAGAAGGGAAGAAACCGCACUGUGCUAAUCAGCAGUGCCUUGACGGUACCUUCAAAGGAAGCACCGGCUAACUCCGUGCCAGCAGCCGCGGUAAUACGGAGGGUGCAAGCGUUAAUCGGAAUUACUGGGCGUAAAGCGCACGUAGGCUGCUUUGUAAGUCAGGGGUGAAAUCCAACGGCUCAACCGUGGAACUGCCUUUGAUACUGCUUAGCUUGAAUCCGGGAGAGGGUGGCGGAAUUCCAGGUGUAGGAGUGAAAUCCGUAGAUAUCUGGAGGAACAUCAGUGGCGAAGGCGGCCACCAGGACCGGUAUUGACGCUGAGGUGCGAAAGCGUGGGGAGCAAACAGG
rnacentral:rRNA from 1 species